GAUGAACGCUGGCGGCGUGCUUAACACAUGCAAGUCGAACGAAGCACUUUAUUUGAUUUCCUUCGGGACUGAUUAUUUUGUGACUGAGUGGCGGACGGGUGAGUAACGCGUGGGUAACCUGCCUUGUACAGGGGGAUAACAGUUGGAAACGGCUGCUAAUACCGCAUAAGCGCACGGCAUCGCAUGAUGCAGUGUGAAAAACUCCGGUGGUAUAAGAUGGACCCGCGUUGGAUUAGCUAGUUGGUGAGGUAACGGCCCACCAAGGCGACGAUCCAUAGCCGACCUGAGAGGGUGACCGGCCACAUUGGGACUGAGACACGGCCCAAACUCCUACGGGAGGCAGCAGUGGGGAAUAUUGCACAAUGGGCGAAAGCCUGAUGCAGCGACGCCGCGUGAGCGAAGAAGUAUUUCGGUAUGUAAAGCUCUAUCAGCAGGGAAGAUAAUGACGGUACCUGACGAAGAAGCACCGGCUAAAUACGUG
rnacentral:rRNA from 1 species